GGCUCAGAUUGAACGCUGGCGGCAUGCCUUACACAUGCAAGUCGAACGGCAGCACGGGAGCUUGCUCCUGGUGGCGAGUGGCGAACGGGUGAGUAAUACAUCGGAACGUACCCUGAAGUGGGGGAUAACGUAGCGAAAGUUACGCUAAUACCGCAUAUUCUGUGAGCAGGAAAGAGGGGGAUCGCAAGACCUCUUGCUUUAGGAGUGGCCGAUGUCGGAUUAGCUAGUUGGUGAGGUAAAGGCUCACCAAGGCGACGAUCCGUAGCGGGUCUGAGAGGAUGAUCCGCCACACUGGGACUGAGACACGGCCCAGACUCCUACGGGAGGCAGCAGUGGGGAAUUUUGGACAAUGGGCGCAAGCCUGAUCCAGCCAUGCCGCGUGAGUGAAGAAGGCCUUCGGGUUGUAAAGCUCUUUCGGUGGGGAAGAAAUUGCACAGGAUAAUACCUUGUGUAGAUGACGGUACCCGCAUAAGAAGCACCGGCUAACUACGUG
rnacentral:rRNA from 1 species